rnacentral:rRNA from 1 species
UACGUAGGUCCCGAGCGUUGUCCGGAUUUAUUGGGCGUAGAGCGAGCGCAGGUGGUUUAUUAAGUCUGGUGUAAAAGGCAGUGGCUCAACCAUUGUAUGCAUUGGAAACUGGUAGACUUGAGUGCAGGAGAGGAGAGUGGAAUUCCAUGUGUAGCGGUGAAAUGCGUAGAUAUAUGGAGGAACACCGGUGGCGAAAGCGGCUCUCUGGCCUGUAGCUGACGCUGAGGCUCGAAAGCGUGGGGAGCAAACAGG